GUUAGAUCAGGACUAAUAUGAGAAAAUGGUUCCAGUUUGUGCCUUUCCAAAUUGCGGCAACCAAAUGAAGAGAUAUUUCAGCUUGAGCUUUCACCGUCUACCCCUCCGCAACCGGGAGAUUUUACAGUUGUGGCUGGUUGCACUUCAGCUUGAUGUGCAAACUCCCUUGCAAAUAUUACGUGAGAGAGAUUACCGUGUUUGCAGCGAACAUUUUGAUGAAGACGACUUCACCAAAAAGAACAUCAAGUCCCGGUAUCUGAAGGCAAAUGCCAUUCCUAAAGCGAAAAGACCAGCUGCAGACAAAUUGGAGGGGACAACAUCCAGUCACAUAGAGACAGAAUUAGCUGCAGUGCCACAGUCAACUCCCAAGAAGGCGUCAAGCAAAUCUGGUCAUCCAGCCAGUUUCAAAAUAGUUCUUUCAAGUCCACAGA